AGAUCAAGUGCGACCGCGCGGGCGGCAGGUCGUGUGCGUCGCGUGCGGGGCGAGCCGGCGAGUUGUGUCUACGCGCCGCCGGUCCUGGUCUCACUCUAUGUGAUCCACAUGCCAAAAAAGUAUGGAACGUAGUUACCGGUACAAGUAACUGCAAGUAUUCACGAAAACAUUUUUCGAUUCUUUACAAGCGAUAUCCGCGCAGUUGUAACUAGGUAGUUAUUUAUUCACGUGUGAUGUUUUAUUUAUUUAAUUUGGUGUCGAGUAAUUAAUAAUCCGUGCUUGGUGGCAAUAUACUUUAAUUUUGACGUUUGUUUUUUUUUUUGUUUACUUCUGUGACAUUUUAUAACCGAGUGGACAUUAUCAACUCAAAACGCUGCUACAAACGAUUCCAGUUCUUCCCUUGUCGAUUAUCAUCAGCCGGGGGCAACAGUAAGGACUCCGGUCAGGAGACAUGAGGCGAGGCAGAAUGUCCUAUCUGCGGCGGCGGACAUUUGGGGCGUGACUGAGCUUAGACUCGCGAUGGCUGCCACGAGGCGGCGUCAGGGACUCGCAGCACGUAUCCCCGAGGGACUCGGCUCCUCUUCCCGUCUGUAGACGUGCGCUCAUCGCCGCUUCCGAGCCGUCAUGUCGAUGACGGGCAGCCUGAUUACCUUCGACAACAACGACGCCGCCGGGAGGAGCAAGG